rnacentral:rRNA from 1 species
UACGUAGGGUGCAAGCGUUAAUCGGAAUUACUGGGCGUAAAGCGUGCGCAGGCGGUUUUGUAAGUCAGAUGUGAAAUCCCCGGGCUCAACCUGGGCAUGGCAUUUGAGACUGCAAGGCUAGAGUGUGUCAGAGGGGGGUAGAAUUCCACGUGUAGCAGUGAAAUGCGUAGAGAUGUGGAGGAAUACCGAUGGCGAAGGCAGCCCCCUGGGAUAACACUGACGCUCAUGCACGAAAGCGUGGGGAGCAAACAGG